rnacentral:rRNA from 1 species
GACGAACGCUGGCGGCGUGCUUAACACAUGCAAGUCGAACGGAAAGGCCCUGCUUUUGUGGGGUGCUCGAGUGGCGAACGGGUGAGUAACACGUGAGUAACCUGCCCUUGACUUUGGGAUAACUUCAGGAAACUGGGGCUAAUACCGGAUAGGAGCUCCUGCUGCAUGGUGGGGGUUGGAAAGUUUCGGCGGUUGGGGAUGGGCUCGCGGCUUAUCAGCUUGUUGGUGGGGUAGUGGCUUACCAAGGCUUCGACGGGUAGCCGGCCUGAGAGGGUGACCGGGGACAUUGGGACUGAGAUACGGCCCAGACUCGUACGGGAGGCAGCAGUGGGGAAUAUUGCACAGUGGGCGGAAGCGUGAUGCAGCAACGCCGCGUGCGGGAUGACGGCCUUCGGGUUGUAAACCGCUUUCGCCUGUGACGAAGCGUGAGUGACGGUAAUGGGUAAAGAAGCACCGGCUAACUACGUG